GCUCGUUUUGGCACACAUAUACUAAAACUGGAAUGAUACCGAGAAGAUUAGCAUGACCCCUGCACAAGGAUGACAGGCAAAUUUGUGAAGCAUUCCAUAUUUAA
rnacentral:snRNA from 1 species